UACGUAGGGGGCUAGCGUUGUCCGGAAUCAUUGGGCGUAAAGCGCGUGUAGGCGGCCCGGUAAGUCCGCUGUGAAAGUCGGGGGCUCAACCCUCGAAUGCCGGUGGAUACUGUCGGGCUAGAGUACGGAAGAGGCGAGUGGAAUUCCUGGUGUAGCGGUGAAAUGCGCAGAUAUCAGGAGGAACACCAAUUGCGAAGGCAGCUCGCUGGGACGUAACUGACGCUGGAGACGCGAAAGCGUGGGGAGCAAACAGG
rnacentral:rRNA from 1 species